rnacentral:RNase_P_RNA from 1 species
GACAAACGCUGCAAUAAAAUUGUAGAGGAAAGUCCAUGCUCGCACUAUCUGUGAUGAUAGUAGUGUUCGUGCAUUGGGAAAAAAUAACCAAUGGUAGUUUAUACUAACGGCGUUGAGGCAACCUAAGUCAUUGAUAUGGUUGUAUUAGACAUAAAGUGCCAAAGAGACGAUACUCUUUAGAAAUAAAGAGAGUGGAACGCGGUAAACCCCACGAGCGAGAAACCCAAAUUUUGGUAGGGGAGCCCAAUAAAAAUAAUUAAGAAUUUUUUAGGGAUUGAUUUAUUCAAUAGAUAAAUGUUUGUCGCUUUUUUAAGUACAGAACAUGGCUUAUAA